rnacentral:rRNA from 1 species
GAUGAACGCUGGCGGCGUGCCUAAUACAUGCAAGUCGAACGCUUUGUGGUUCAACUGAUUUGAAGAGCUUGCUCAGAUAUGACGAUGGACAUUGCAAAGAGUGGCGAACGGGUGAGUAACACGUGGGAAACCUACCUCUUAGCAGGGGAUAACAUUUGGAAACAGAUGCUAAUACCGUAUAACAAUGACAACCGCAUGGUUGUUAUUUAAAAGAUGGUUCUGCUAUCACUAAGAGAUGGUCCCGCGGUGCAUUAGCUAGUUGGUAAGGUAAUGGCUUACCAAGGCGAUGAUGCAUAGCCGAGUUGAGAGACUGAUCGGCCACAAUGGGACUGAGACACGGCCCAUACUCCUACGGGAGGCAGCAGUAGGGAAUCUUCCACAAUGGGCGAAAGCCUGAUGGAGCAACGCCGCGUGUGUGAUGAAGGGUUUCGGCUCGUAAAACACUGUUGUAAGAGAAGAAUGACAUUGAGAGUAACUGUUCAAUGUGUGACGGUAUCUUACCAGAAAGGAACGGCUAAAUACGUGCCAGCAGCCGCGGUAAUACGUAUGUUCCAAGCGUUAUCCGGAUUUAUUGGGCGUAAAGCGAGCGCAGACGGUUAUUUAAGUCUGAAGUGAAAGCCCUCAGCUCAACUGAGGAAUUGCUUUGGAAACUGGAUGACUUGAGUGCAGUAGAGGAAAGUGGAACUCCAUGUGUAGCGGUGAAAUGCGUAGAUAUAUGGAAGAACACCAGUGGCGAAGGCGGCUUUCUGGACUGUAACUGACGUUGAGGCUCGAAAGUGUGGGUAGCAAACAGGAUUAGAUACCCUGGUAGUCCACACCGUAAACGAUGAGUGCUAGGUGUUUGAGGGUUUCCGCCCUUAAGUGCCGCAGCUAACGCAUUAAGCACUCCGCCUGGGGAGUACGACCGCAAGGUUGAAACUCAAAGGAAUUGACGGGGACCCGCACAAGCGGUGGAGCAUGUGGUUUAAUUCGAAGCAACGCGAAGAACCUUACCAGGUCUUGACAUCCCUUGACAACUCCAGAGAUGGAGUGUUCCCUUCGGGGACAAGGUGACAGGUGGUGCAUGGUUGUCGUCAGCUCGUGUCGUGAGAUGUUGGGUUAAGUCCCGCAACGAGCGCAACCCUUAUUACUAGUUGCCAGCAUUCAGUUGGGCACUCUAGUGAGACUGCCGGUGACAAACCGGAGGAAGGUGGGGAUGACGUCAAAUCAUCAUGCCCCUUAUGACCUGGGCUACACACGUGCUACAAUGGCGUAUACAACGAGUUGCCAACCCGCGAGGGUGAGCUAAUCUCUUAAAGUACGUCUCAGUUCGGAUUGUGGGCUGCAACUCGCCUACAUGAAGUCGGAAUCGCUAGUAAUCGCGGAUCAGCACGCCGCGGUGAAUACGUUCCCGGGUCUUGUACACACCGCCCGUCACACCAUGAGAGUUUGUAACACCCAAAGCCGGUGGGGUAACCUUCGGGAGCCAGCCGUCUAAGGUGGGACAGAUGAUUAGGGUG